CGCUUCGCGGGGCUGUAGGCCCAGGCCCCUCGUCCACCCUCGGGGUCGCGCUCUGCUCUUGAGUGCGCUCUAGGUUAUUUGCAUAGGAGCCCGACAUGCUGAAAACUGACCGUUUGUGUGUGUCCUGGAAAGUUGUGUACAAAUCCCUUAGUUUCUUUGUCCUUAGGGGUUUAUUAGCUUACGGAAAAACUACGAAUUACCAAAGAAACCGUCCUUUGUGUUUUAUAGGCUGAAGGGGAUGCUAAAGGAGAUAAAGCCAAGGUGAAGGACGAAGUAAGUAUUGUUCCCUUGAAGGAGCCCUGUAAAGCCUGGGAGUUGUAAGACCAGGGCAUUCCUUUGUUGGUAAUAAAUCGGAACCCCGAAAUAAGGUCUGGGCACUUCCUAUAGUUAGAACAAAUGGACCCCAAACCUUGUUUUUCUUAAGCAGUUGAUCUCUACUAUUUCUAACUUUCUCGUUUUUUAAAUAGCCACAGAGAAGAUCUGCAAGGUUGUCUGCAGUAAGUAUACAUACUUUCAAGUUCUCAUCCUUAUCCGUGAACUAAAGCAUUAAGAGAUCUCCCUUGCUCUCCGCGAAUUACAGUUGGGGGCUGGUUUUGAAUGGUCUGCUCUUCUUUGGACUCUGAUCUAUUUGGAAUGUGCUGGUUCUGAAAUUGUGAUGGCUAGAGCCAAAGUGGGACCCUUCAGAAUGUUACUUGAGCAGAUUUCUGAAGGUUGAGCAUUCUCAAAAAGUCAGCCAGGUGAACUUGUAGAAAGUAGAAACUUCCAAGUAGUCGAUGCGGUUGGUCGUUGGUUAUGGGUAGUUUCCUUUUGUUCACUCCAUUAAUGCUCUCAUUUGCUUUCUCUCCCUGCCACAAAAAAAGAAACCUGCUCCUCCAAAGCCAGAGCCCAAGCCUAAAAAGGCCCCUGCAAAGAAGGGAGAGAAGGUACCCAAAGGAAAAAAGGGAAAAGCUGAUGCUGGCAAGGAUGGGAACAACCCUGCAGAAAACGGAGAUGCCAAAACAGACCAGGCACAGAAAGCUGAAGGUGCUGGAGAUGCCAAGUGAA